AUUGAUAAACCGAACGAGCAGCCGUCCACCUUAAAGGAGGGCGCCUCCUCACCACCUGGUUAAAAUUCCUCCUCCUCCUCUCCCCACCUCCCUACAUCCAUUUUGCUCUGUGCUGUUUAAACAAUACUUCAUCAAAUGCAGCCCGGAGCAAAUAAGAAAGCUCAGUAGAGUAAAUAAAAAGUCAAAAAAAAAAUCACCGGCUGGAGGACACUGAGGCAUCCAAGAUAAAGACAACAGAGGUUUGGUGUCUGGUGAGGACCACUCUCUGCUUCCAAGAUGGCACAUUUUGGCUCCAUCUUCAUGAGUGGAGGAAGGAGCCCUGAGAUGACAAUCCACUGGUCAUGAGCAUCCCAUAGGGCAGAGGCUGGAAGGGCAAGUGAGCCUCACACUGAGUGAAGCCUUAAUCCCACUUGUGAAGGAGGAGAAUCACCUCUUAACACUACCACAUUGACAAUACUUAAAUUUUGGAGGAAAUACAUGCAAACCAUAGGGACAAUGAAAAGACCUAGCAAUGGAUGGUGGUGAUGGUUGUGCAACAUUGUGAAAAUAUUUAAAGACACUAGCUAUAUACUUUGUGAUGGUUUAAAUGGUAAAUUUUAACCACUUUUAUUUAUAUUUAACAUGCAUAUUUACAUAUAUGCAUAUUUUACCACACUAAAAUAAAAUAUUAAGUGAGGAUUUUGACUACAUAAUGGGGGGGGGUCAGCUAGUAUCACCCAAACCCUGAUCAAUCAAUAAAAAUGGAAACAAGACACUUCUGUGCCUCUCAAAGUAGUGCAACCAAUACAUAAUCACCUCUCCAAAGUUGUCUUACCCUAAAAGUCCUGAAUGUAAAAUAGUCACUGGAUUCAAACACUGGUUUAUCUUAUGGAAUAAGAGGACAAAUUGUGGCACAUCAGCUAGAAACAACUAGCAAAACUCAGACUAUGGAACAUUUCACAUUUUCUUUAAGAUACAAGUGGAUUUUUUAAAUGGGAACACAGGGGUGGGAAGUAUUUAAUAAAAUAUCAAAUCUGAUAUUUGUUCAGCUACUUAUGCAGACCAACCAUCUACAAAACAAAUUUUUGAGGCAGCUGGGGAAAUUUAAAUAUAGAGGGAUAGGAGAGCAUUUGUUUUACUUUCGUUUAAUUUUGUUUACUGUUAAUGGCAUACUGGUUAUAUUGAAGAGGAAGAAAAUUAUUUUUAGCUACAGUAUUUCUAUGUGAAAAGACUUAAUAUCUGGCAUAUGCUACAAAAUACUCUAUCAUAAUAAAACAGUAAUAGUAUUAAUAGUAAUAACAAGUGUAACUGCUGACUGAUAUGUAAUGUUCUAUUGACUUCAUAUUGUUUAGAAGGAUUAAGAAACAAGUUUUUGUUAAUAUAAACAUGUUACAUGUAAUUUAAGGACGUUAAAUGUGAAGGGUAGCCACUAAACAAGCAGAAAUAACACAUACAACUUCCAAAUCUUGAUUAAUCCAAUGUAGGAUGUUAGAAAAAGCAUCAGAAGUAAACCCAAGUAGAUGAGAAUCUCAAGUAAAGGAUCUAAGAAGGAAUUAUUCCAUAUGUAAACUGUUACACAAUAAUCAACUUGACUUUGAACUAGAAACAUUCCACAAGGGCAGCAAUAAUUUAUGAGGAACUGAGCUGGCCCUUGCUCUGAUGGUUCUUCAUUGGCCGUGGGCCAUGAGAUGUCCCUGAAUCACGGAUCAAGAGUUUUCCACUUUGGAGCCACCAAGUUCUGUGCAGAGCAGGUGUAGAUGGUGUUUGCUGGUGCAGAUUAUAAAAACAACAAAGACAUAUGGUUUAGGAGGUACCAUUUGAAGCUAUAGUAUUAAGAUUGUAGACUAUAUUGUUGUUUUACAAGUUCUCACUGGCCACAUAGAAAUGGGAAAGGCUCAAAUAUCCAGACCUGUGCUGGAGGACUGAAUAGAUGCUUCAAUUCAUCCUCAGAAAAAGAAGCAGGAAGGGGAGAUGGCACUGUGAACAAAAGCACAUAAUAAUUCUGGACAACCAUCUACCUAGGAGGUUGUAAGCAAAACUUAUGUUGGGAGAGAGAAUGAUUUCAGGCCCUGAGGCCAGGAAGUCUCUGGAACAUGGGACUUUAUCUCAGGAAACCAAUCCCCUUUGCCUGAGAGUCCGUGGGUUCCAAGGACACAGGGCUUUCUGUGUUAACACAGACAAUCUGGGGCAAUAUAGGUCAAGUUGGUCACCUACUGGUGGCCUUGAAUUCAGAUGCAUGAUAACACUGGCUCCGUCACACAUUUGGAGUUCAGUGGCACCUCGGAUCACAAACUAUUUGUUCCACGAUUUUGGAAAAGAUGGCCACGUUUAUGUUUGUUGGGAAAGGUGACUGCAGUCAUGUUUGUCACAUUACUCAUAGAGUUUGCAGACAAAAACAAAAUUUUCCAAAUGCUUCUGCUUGUGAACCAAAUUGUUCACAAACAAAAGUGUCCGGGAAUGGAUGUACUACUGUACUGGAUGUGGGUACAACCCAAAUGAAAUGAAAGCUUACUUUCACAAAACAUAUUUAACUGCCUCUACAGAGAAAAUUCUGGGAUAAAUAAUAUUUUUAAAUAAAUGAAAAGAUCACUCUUGAAACUGAAUCCUUCUUCCAAAACUGGGAUGUAUUUUUAAUUGAAGAAUACUCCCAGAACUGAGGUCAGGCCUAAUGUGCAUACUUUUUCUUUGCUUCCCUGAUCAUGCCCACUAUUAAGAGAAAAAUCUUACAGAAAAACUGCCAGCUUAAAUCCUAUAACCGUGGGUCCAUCUCAUGAAUUAAGACCAAGACUUGGCAAAUGUGCUGAGUGAGGGAGAACAAUUACCAAGUUCAUGGCUCCAGGUUCUGUUUACCCUGAUACUGUCUAGGCUAAUCAUUUAUUUCUUGCUGCCUUCUAAGUUUUAUUAAGCUGUUCAGAAAAGUUUCAGCCAUGCUUUAUGGCUAUGUGAACUGCCUGUGUAUCCAUUUCACAAUUUGAUUCAUUCUGAUUAAAUUGUUCAACUGUUAAUGAGUUUUAGAUUGCAAUAUGGAGAGGCAAACAAUUCAGAACAUUAAGGCAGUAAAAUAUCUUAAUAUUUCAAAGUUCUCAUUGAAAACAUAAAACAAAAGGCUCAUUUCUGGGAGGAGAGACUGUAAUAAUUACCCUCUGUAAAAAUAAAUGUACUUGGCUGCCUAUACAUUCUCCGGGCAUCUGUGUAGUCACAUUCACAUGUACAGACCUGCUGGUACAUAGUAAUCUCAUAAAUAUCCAGAGAAAUUCUGAUAUUUUCCAGCCAAUUUCAACAGAUGAGAUAAUCAUUUUGACAUUAUUACUCCAAAGAAUUUCUGGAGCUAGACAAAAAAUUGAUUCUUACUCAACUUCCUCCACAGUCUAAUGAAUUCCACACGGUGAGAUGCUGAAGUAUCUCAGGCACUGAGGGCUUAGGAGAUGGAUUAGAAUCCAGUCAGGAGACCAGAUGCUGUUCUUUUUCAGUGAACCUUCUCCUCCUCCCUCUGCAACUCCUGAAGGUUCCUGGCCCAACAUCCAUUUCUUGGUGACAGUGUUUGUUUUGACAGUAAUUGAGUAAAGAUUCACUGGACUCAUUCACCCUUUAAACAUUUUCCCUUGGAACUUCCUCCCUCUUGCAAAUUCUGGGAAUAUAAAUGCAUAGAAAUAGAUGCCUCCAAAUUACUGAAGGUCAUGAGAUAGCAUGGUCACCUGGACUCUGGGGGAAAAUUCAAUUGCUUCAUUUAUAAAAUAGAAAUUAAAAUCCAUUUUCAGCCUGGAGCAAAGUGCUCAAACUGAUGAUUUCUUCUGUUCUUUCCAGCUCCAGAAGCCAUACCUGGAUAGAUACAUGACUUCGUUUCAAAUCAAACUUUCAUUUGAGCAGCUUUUUAAAUUCAGAAAAAGAAGAAUUUGUGUUUGAUUAUGAAGACAGGAGAGGUCUUUGCACACAUUUAUUAAAGCAAAGAUGCAGUGUUUAGAAAACUGGAAAAGAGUAUGCCUUAUAACCAUAGAGUAUGAGAAACAAUAGGGUCCUCUGAGGCUAACAAGCCCAAUGAUACUGACAGCCAGACUGGCCAGAGUGGGAGUAGGGAUAAAGAACAGCUCUUGAGAGGUGGAAUUCACAGCCCAGAUCUGGAAUCUGAGCAUCCCAGCACUCUCUUGCUCACAGGACUUCUAUGGUUUGGGCAGUAUGUUGCACCACUCUACCUCACCUGAAGCUGUCUUUGUCUGACUUUGUUUCCCUUAUUACUUUAAAGAAUUCAUCAAAGAGAAUACACUUUCUUGAUGGUAUAUAUUCUAGGAGAGCGCAGGAGAGGGAUGAAGAAGAAACAAGUUCUCCAUCUGAAAAGAAAGUAAACAUCUGCCGAGCACUAAACUUCACUGCUCUUGAACUCAACAAUUCUUUUCUGCCUCUUCAUUCCAUACAAUCCAAAAGGCAUAACCUGAAAAGGGAUGUCACAGAAAGACGUACUGAAAAUCACAAAUGAAAAAGGCUCAAUAGUUAAUCAGCAGUUUUCUGCUAUCCUUUCUUCAACAAGUACAAAAUAAACAAGUCGAGAAGUUAUUCUAUCUUUCUGACUAUAAGCAAUGUGGUGAAUUAAUGUUCCUAAAUGCUAGCACUGGAUAAAUGAAUUCAUUGUUGAGAAAGUUCUGGAUGAGCCAGUAGUCAAGGAUUAUUAACUCCAUUAUAGAUCCCUGUGUGUGUCUGCUCGAAGGCAGAGUUGGAAGAGGAGCACUUCUAUGAAGGAGUCCACUACAUGUACGUGCUUUUGUAAAAUAUUGCAUUUCAAACUAAGUAUUUACUAUCUUUUUCUUAAAGAACUCAAAAUUAUCCAAGAUACGCAAAAGGAAAAAACACAAGGGCAUAUAAGUGCUUACAACUACCCAAUGAAUUUUGGCAGACUAAGUAGCCACCUGGAACAUAACCAGGAGGCAUUCCUUGGAAAGACUCUUCAGGGUUACUGUCCAACAUAGGACAGACAGUGAGGAGUUUCUAAAUGCCCUUUGCAAGACUUUUGAAAAGCUCUGGAUCCACGUAAGAUAUAGGAGAUCUGUAAUAUUUUCAUUACUGCCCUCAAUGCAUUUCCAGAGUCAUUAAUUCAUGUGCAGCACUUCAUCAAAUCGGAUCCUCUUUGUAAAUCCUUUUUUUCCUUUACCUGAACCUCAGUGCAUUUUGUGCUGACUGCUCACAGUAGCGCAGAAAACAAACAGAAAGUACUGCCUGCCUCUGGUCUGCAGCAAGCCUCUCUAUUUGCUGGUUUAAUCCUCCAGACUUUACCCUUUUCCAUUUGGUCCUUCACAUCAUCUCAGGCUAAUCUGUCAAGCAUUUUAGACAGCCAAGCCAAUCUGCAAUUGCUGAGGACUUUGCCACAAGCACCAGGUCUGUUAAUAAGAUUUUCAUUUGGAAAGAUGCCAGGGCAUCCAUGUUUUCUAUCGUAUAUAAAUACUAAGAUUCAAUAGCUUCAGGUUUUGUUUAAUGUUAAUGUCAACUAUUAAAAAAAAAAGGGAGGAGGUUCUCAAAUGCCUGGUCCAACAGUGAAAUCCCCCCACUGACAGCUAUUUGCAAGGGUAAUGUUGUGGAAAACAACAUCCAUCUUGGAAACAGUUUCAUUAGCCCCAUCUAGCUGACCUCUCCACAUAAUGUUGUCAAAUGUGACGGGCAUCCGAUUAUUGGGAAUAUGGAGAUCAAUAAAUAUGCAACACCAGCGCUUAGAAUGCUUCUGGCACCAGAGCCAUACAAAUGCCAUCUAACAUGGCUCAGAGUCGCUGUCAUCUGUCAUACCAGCUAGUAAAUAGACAAGCUUAAGGGGAAGGCUAUCAGUAAUGGUAAAAUAUAUGGGUGAAGAUGAAUUAGACAGGGAGUGUGUAGUCAGGGUUCUGAUGCAUAAAGGUUCCAAAUGAAAAACAACAGGCAAACAUUCUGGAGCAAUAGCCUGCUUUCUUCAGGGAAUAGAUGGGAAUUCUUGCCACAUGGUCAAAAUCUGCUCUGUGGGCCCCUCUCUAUGUUUUCCAUGUUGGCUUUUAGAGAAUUAGGUCUGCUUCCAGGACCCUUGCUAGGUGCUUGGAGUUUCUCAAGUGAAUUUCUGCACAAUACCAAGGGGCCAGAGCACAUAUUCCCCUUAAGUCCCUGUAUGCACCAACUACACAAUGUAGCUUUUCACAUGAUGGCUACCCAGGGCCAAAAGAAGUGACUGCAUUGUCCACUUACUCCAGUCUCAAGGACCUCCAACCUUUGGGCCUACAAACAAGCUAUUUGGUGGAGGUGCUAAAGGAAACUUCAAUUCGAGCUAGUGAUCAUCCAAGUCCCCAGAAAUACAGACCUUUGAGAACCACAGUGGAUGGCAACUUCUGUACCAAGCCACCCCCUUCUACGAUCACUGGAGCUGCCUCCCAGUCUGCCAGACACACAGUACCACUGCCCACUGUACCCACCACUGCCUGAAGCUCUAGGUCCUUGCUCAGCCCCCAGCAGUUUUCUCAGCCUCCCUUCCCCAAAAAGACACCACUGCCUGGCUGACCCAUUUUCGUAAACCCUCCUUUCCCUUCCAGAAGGGCUUAGAUUCAGCCAAGUCUACCUUUCAGUUAAAGGAACCUAAAGCAAAGCCAAUCCCAA